GCGGGCCACGUUGGUUAAAUUAACGGAUGCAGGAUACAGACGGCCUGUGGAUAUAGACGGCUGACUGGAUGUACACGUUUAUUAUAUAAUUUUGUUUGUAAAUUAUAUUAUGAUUUAAUUCUAUUUACAACUUUAUAAUUUUUUGUUUUACAAGCCUAUAGAAUUAUAUAUAAUUAUUAUAGUUUAUCCUUAUCUCUGUUUCACGGAGAGGUAAAUGAUGACCAGGGAGUUACAAAGCUUCAUAAGUUUCUCGGAAUGUGUAUCGGAGAAAAAAUAACAGAGUCUGGCUAAAGAGAUGAAGAGCUCAUGAGGGCGUGUCUGCAUUUAAACAAGAGUAGCAUUGUCAAUUGUUGUCCUUACCAGCGGCCGACAAGGCGGAAUUGGAACGGUGCUGCUCCUGACUACCUCUACUCCCCGCUAGGCUUAGGGGCUGGAGUGACCCAAGCCCUCAGGCACAGAAUCUGGCUCUGGCGAACUCAGGCAAGAUGGAACCACAUUUGAAAGAAUCUAUGAAGACAGACUUGGCAAAGGCAGGAGUCACAGCAAAUCAAGGGAUCUGGCCAGCAAGGACUCACAGGUAACCCAGCUGGAGCUGCAGAGCUGAC
rnacentral:lncRNA from 1 species